rnacentral:lncRNA from 1 species
AUGCGUCGCUUCGAACCCUGCAGACUCCAGGAAGACUGGGCGGGGUUCCAGCCCCAGAGCCGGACGCGAAACAGCCGGGGGGGGGGGGUGGGGGGGGGGCGGGGGGCGGGGCCCGGCCACUGCAGCUCCGGACAGAAGCGGGCGCUGCGGGGCAGGCCAGGACCGCGGCUCCGCCCGCGCCAACCUCUGGGUCCCUGGGCGGAAGCAAACGCGUUUCCAAGAGGAACCCAAGGAGGAUGAGCUGGCAGAGGUCCUGAACACAGGCUGCAGGAUGUGCUCUUCUCAGUGACAGUAGGUAAAUAGUAACUGGCUCCCAAAAAAACUGGCCCUGCAAGCCAAUAAAUAGCUGACAGCAUAACCUGAAAAACA